rnacentral:rRNA from 1 species
GAUGAACGCUGGCGGCGUGCUUAACACAUGCAAGUCGAACGCCCCGCAAGGGGAGUGGCGCACGGGUGAGUAACGCGUGGGAAUAUGCCCUUCGGUUCGGAAUAACACAGGGAAACUUGUGCUAAUACCGGAUACGAUCUACGGAUGAAAGAUUUAUCGCCGAGGGAGUAGCCCGCGUAGGAUUAGCUAGUUGGUGAGGUAAUGGCUCACCAAGGCGACGAUCCUUAGCUGGUCUGAGAGGAUGAUCAGCCACACUGGGACUGAGACACGGCCCAGACUCCUACGGGAGGCAGCAGUGGGGAAUAUUGGACAAUGGGCGAAAGCCUGAUCCAGCCAUGCCGCGUGAGUGAUGAAGGCCUUAGGGUUGUAAAGCUCUUUCGCCAGGGAAGAUAAUGACGGUACCUGGAAAAGAAGCCUCGGCUAACUCCGUGCCAGCCGCCGCGGUAA